rnacentral:rRNA from 1 species
ACGGAAGGCAGCAGUGGGGAAUACUGCGCAAUGGGGGAAACCCUGAUGUAGCGACGCCGCGUGAAGGAAGAAGUAUCUCGGUAUGUAAACUUCUAUCAGCAGGGAAGAUAAUGACGGUACCUGACUAAGAAGCCCCGGCUAACUACGUGCCAGCAGCCGCGGUAAUACGUAGGGGGCAAGCGUUAUCCGGAUUUACUGGGUGUAAAGGGAGCGUAGACGGAUCGGCAAGUCUGAUGUGAAAGGCUGGGGCUCAACCCCGGGACUGCAUUGGAAACUGUCGGUCUUGAGUGCCGGAGGGGUAAGCGGAAUUCCUAGUGUAGCGGUGAAAUGCGUAGAUAUUAGGAGGAACACCAGUGGCGAAGGCGGCUUACUGGACGGUAACUGACGUUGAGGCUCGAAAGCGUGGGGAGCAAACAGGAUUAGAUACCCUGGUA